GCCCUGCUAGCUUAGGGGUAGAGCGUUGCACUUGUACUUUCAGGUCAUGCAAAGGUCACUGGUUCAAUUCCAGUGUAGGGCA